UUCAAAUUUUAAUGGGUCAAAGCCUUAUUUAUUGAAUUAUUAGUUAGUUUGAGAUCUUAAACCAAAACCUCAUAACCUAAAUUAGGGUUUAUGAAUUUGAAAUCCUAAAACUUGCCCCUCACCCCUUCACCUCCCUCACCUUCAUUGAUCCUCACCUCCCUCACAGUAGUCAUCUUUUCUCUUCUUCUUCAAGUUAGAUAGUUACUACCUGAAACUGUAAUCAUCUUUUCAACCUCGCUACUCCUACUCGCAGUCUCCAACCUCGCUGCUCCUGCUCGCAACCUUGUGCAAAGAACUUAAUGGAGGUCUAAGGAUGCUUCUAGCAGGGUUAUUGGCAUUUGCUGUUGUGUAACAGGAAACUGACCACAUCUUUCAAGCUAUUUUCACUAGAGUUUUUGUUUAUGUUAUAGAUGGAGGAAGAGAUGAACAGUAAAUCUACUCUAGAAUUGGAGCUAAAGAAGCUUUUGGAAGAUUUUCAACUAUUUGGGACCAUUUUAAGAUUGUAGAUUAUGGUGAUAAAACUAGGGCAGCAUGUGUAAAUUGUGGAAAAACUUAUGCUUGUGGCUCCAAAAAUUAUAGGGCUAGUAAUUUGUGGGCUCAUUUAAAUAAUCAAUAUUUUUGUAAGGUAAAUAAAAAGCAAAAGGGAGCACAUUCUGAGUCA